GACGAACGCUGGCGGCGUGCUUAACACAUGCAAGUCGAACGGAAAGGCCCUGCUUUUGUUGUUUUCUCGAUUGGCGAACGGGUGAGUAACACGUGAGUAACCUGCCCUUGACUUUGGGAUAACUUCAGGAGACUGGGGCUAAUACCGGAUAGGAUCUCCUGCUGCAUGGUGGGGGUUGGAAAGAUUCGGCGGUUGGGGAUGGACUCGCGGCUUAUCAGCUUGUUUGUGGGGUAGUGGCUUACCAAGGCUUUGACGGGUAGCCCGCCUGGGAGGGUGACCGGCCACAUUGGGACUGAGAUACGGACCAGACUCCUACGGGCGGCAGGAGUGGGGAAUAUUGCACAGUGGGCGGAAGCCUGAUGCAGCAACGCCGCGUGCGGGAUGACGGCCUUCGGGGUGUAAACAGAUUUCGCCUGUGACGAAGAGUGAGUGACGGUAAUGGGUAAAAAAGCCACGGCUAACUACGUG
rnacentral:rRNA from 1 species